GACCAGCCACACUGGAACUGAGACACGGUCCAGACUCCUACGGGAGGCAGCAGUGGGGAAUAUUGCACAAUGGGCGCAAGCCUGAUGCAGGCGAGGUCGCGUGUAUGAAGAAGGCCUUCGGGUUGUAAAGUACUUUCAGCGGGGAGGAAGGGAGUAAAGUUAAUACCUUUGCUCAUUGACGUUACCCGCAGAAGAAGCACCGGCUAACUCCGUGCCAGCAGCCGCGGUAAUACGGAGGGUGCAAGCGUUAAUCGGAAUUACUGGGCGUAAAGCGCACGCAGGCGGUUUGUUAAGUCAGACGUGAAAUCCCCGGGCUCAACCUGGGAACUGCAUCUGAUACUGGCAAGCUUGAGUCUCGUAGAGGGGGGUAGAAUUCCAGGUGUAGCGGUGAAAUUGUUGGAGAUCUGGAGGAAUNACNCGGUGGCGAAGGCGGCCCCCUGGACGAAGACUGACGCUCAGGUGCGAAAGCGUGGGGAACNAACAGGAUUAGAUACCCUGGUAGUCCACGCCGUAAACGAUGUCGACUUGGAGGUUGUGCCCUUGAGGCGUGGCUUCCGGAGCUAACGCGUUAAGUCGACCGCCUGGGGAGUACGGCCGCAAGGUUAUCACUCAAAUGAAUUGACGGGGGCCCGCACAAGCGGUGGAGCAUGUGGUUUAAUUCGAUGCAACGCGAAGAACCUUACCUGGUCUUGACAUCCACGGAAGUUUUCAGAGAUGAGAAUGUGCCUUCGGGAACCGUGAGACAGGUGCUGCAUGGCUGUCGUCAGCUCGUGUUGUGAAAUGUUGGGUUAAGUCCCGCAACGAGCGCAACCCUUAUCCUUUGUUGCCAGCGGUCCGGCCGGGAACUCAAAGGAGACUGCCAGUGAUAAACUGGAGGAAGGUGUGUUAUGAGGGGGAAGUCAUCACGGCCCUUACGACCAGGGCUACACACGUGCUACAAUGGCGCAUACAAAGAGAAGCGACCUCGCGAGAGCAAGCGGACCUCAUAAAGUGCGUCGUAGUCCGGAUUGGAGUCUGCAACUCGACUCCAUGAAGUCGGAAUCGCUAGUAAUCGUGGAUCAGAAUGCCACGGUGAAUACGUUCUCGGGCCCUGUACACACCGCCCCGUCACCACCAUGGGAAGUGGGCUUGCAAAAAAGUAAGUAGUUUUAAGCUUUCGGGAGGGGCGCUUAC
rnacentral:rRNA from 1 species